AAGGCGCCCCCUGCUGGAAACAACGCAUUGGUCUGCCGUUUUACUGCCCAUAUAUUUUGAGAUGAUAGAUAAAAGUUGUCAAUUUUUAAGUCGAGAUUCACAGUAGUCUGCUAGUUCGUGACAACGUUACAAAUGUGUUUAUACUGCGGUGAAUAGCAGAGUUUAAAACAAUCAGUUCGACAUGGCCGAUAAAAUAUUUUUUGCUGUUUCCAUAAUAACAACAUUCAUCUGUUCCUGUUUAAGCCAGGGUCCAUUUAUACUGAACAGCACGUGUCCACAACGUUCCGACUGCAACGUGUACGGCAACACUAAACAUCCACACUGUUACGACUGCACUCAGUUCGUCGUCUGCCUGAAAGGGAACUACGCCAUUGUGAACUGUC